rnacentral:tRNA from 1 species
GGUAUAGCUCAGUGGCAGAGUACUGGCCUAGCAUGCAUGAGGCCCUAGGUUCCAUCCCUAGUGCC